GUCUCGAUAGCUCAGCGGUAGAGCGUGGGAUUGCAGAUCCUAAGGUCCGGUGUUCGAUCCACCGUCGGGACU